CCUACGGGGGGCAGCAGUGGGGAAUAUUGCACAAUGGGCGAAAGCCUGAUGCAGCGACGCCGCGUGAGCGAAGAAGGCCUUCGGGGCGUAAAGCUCUGUCUUAUGGGAAGAAAGAUGACGGUACCAUAGGAGGAAGCCCCGGCUAACUAAGGUCCAGCAGCCGCGGUAAUAGGUAGGGGGCGAGCGUUGUCCGGAAUGACUGGGCGUAAAGGGUACGUAGGCGGCUAGAUAAGUCAGAUGUGAAAGGCAUAGGCUUAACCUGUGGACGCAUUUGAAACUGGCUAGCUUGAGGCAAGGAGAGGAGAGUGGAAUUCCUGGUGUAGCGGUGAAAUGCGUAGAUAUCUGGAGGAAUACCAGUGGCGAGGGCGACUUUCUGGAUUUAGACUGACGCUGAGGUACGAAAGCGUGGGGAGCAAACAGGAUUAGAUACCCUUGUAGUC
rnacentral:rRNA from 1 species